GAAAUGCGAUACGUAAUGCGAAUUGCAGAACUCAGUGAAUCAUCAAAUCUUUGAACGCAAAUUGCGCUUUCGGGAUAGGCCUGAAAGCACGCCUCUUUGAGUAUCGAUUCAACCAACGCUCGACGGCGUUCUUAAUUGAAUUGCGCAGUCGGCCUGAUUGAGUUUCGCAAUUGCAAGAUUGCGUAACUUUAAGCUUGGACAGAAGUUCCCGAUGUCUAACACAUCGUUCGAAUCUGUCGGCUAAGGGCAAUGCGGUUAAUUUGCCUUCGGGUAAAUAUCAGCAUUUGUUCGAAGUAGACAUUAAAGGUUUGUUCGAAGUCUAGAUCAACGAGUGAACUAUUCCAGAGCUAAUCUGGAAAUUAACUUUUGAUUAAGAUCUCAAAUGAAGCGAGAAAACCCG
rnacentral:misc_RNA from 1 species